UGAGGAAUUUUGCGCAAUGGGAGCAAUCCUGACGCAGCAACGCCGCGUGGGUGAUGAAGGCCUUCGGGUCGUAAAGCACUGUCAGGAGGGAAGAAUGUCCCGGAACUGAACAGGUCUCGGGAGUGACGGUACCACCAGAGGAAGCACCGGCUAACUCCGUGCCAGCAGCCGCGGUAAUACGGAGGGUGCAAGCGUUAUUCGGAAUUACUGGGCGUAAAGCGCGUGUAGGCGGUCCUGCAAGUCUGAUGUGAAAGCCCCGGGCUUAACCCGGGAAGUGCAUUGGAAACUGCAGGUCUUGAGUACUGGAGAGGGUGGGGGAAUUCCCGGUGUAGAGGUGAAAUUCGUAGAGAUCGGGAGGAAUAUCAGUGGCGAAGGCGGCCAGCUGGACGGUAACUGACGCUGAGACGCGAAAGCGUGGGGAGCAAACA
rnacentral:rRNA from 1 species